rnacentral:rRNA from 1 species
GAUGAACGCUGGCGGCGUGCCUAAUACAUGCAAGUCGAGCGAACGGACGAGGAGCUUGCCUCUCUGAUGUUAGCGGCGGACGGGUGAGUAACACGUGGAUAACCUACCUAUAAGACUGGGAUAACUUCGGGAAACCGGAGCUAAUACCGGAUAAUAUUUUGAACCGCAUGGUUCAAAAGUGAAAGACGGUCUUGCUGUCACUUAUAGAUGGAUCCGCGCUGCAUUAGCUAGUUGGUAAGGUAACGGCUUACCAAGGCAACGAUGCAUAGCCGACCUGAGAGGGUGAUCGGCCACACUGGAACUGAGACACGGUCCAGACUCCUACGGGAGGCAGCAGUAGGGAAUCUUCCGCAAUGGGCGAAAGCCUGACGGAGCAACGCCGCGUGAGUGAUGAAGGUCUUCGGAUCGUAAAACUCUGUUAUUAGGGAAGAACAUAUGUGUAAGUAACUGUGCACAUCUUGACGGUACCUAAUCAGAAAGCCACGGCUAACUACGUG